rnacentral:lncRNA from 1 species
AGAAUGUCAGGAGAACCUGGCAGGAGCGACAGAUUUUAAGAGAAAGGAGCAGGAGAAACAGAGUGGAAGGGCAUGGGUGGAGAAGGUAGAGGAGACACUGGAGAAGCCCUAUCUGGAGAAGCCGUGUGGUCAUUGCUGAGCAGUCUCUAGGUCCAGGGCAGAGAGUGAUGAGCAGACACAGGAAACCUGCCAUCCAGAGGGGACAGGCAGUCACUCACUUCAGUCCCCCCAGUGAUGUCACUGUCAAGACAGAGAACUGCCCUUUCUAUGGAGCCUCAGAUCUGCCUUUUGGGGCAGUAGCCAUGGGAACAGAGGAUAGGCAGGGAGGGAAGAACAAAGGUUUUCGGCAGAAACAAGUCUAGCUGGUUUGAGAAACAAAAGGGGUGCAGUGGAGAGGAGAUAGUGUUACCACCUGAAGUGGAAGAGACAA